rnacentral:rRNA from 1 species
AUUGAACGCUGGCGGCAUGCCUUACACAUGCAAGUCGAACGGUAACAGGUCUUCGGAUGCUGACGAGUGGCGAACGGGUGAGUAAUACAUCGGAACGUGCCCGAUCGUGGGGGAUAACGGAGCGAAAGCUUUGCUAAUACCGCAUACGAUCUACGGAUGAAAGCAGGGGACCGCAAGGCCUUGCGCGGACGGAGCGGCCGAUGGCAGAUUAGGUAGUUGGUGGGAUAAAAGCUUACCAAGCCGACGAUCUGUAGCUGGUCUGAGAGGACGACCAGCCACACUGGGACUGAGACACGGCCCAGACUCCUACGGGAGGCAGCAGUGGGGAAUUUUGGACAAUGGGCGAAAGCCUGAUCCAGCCAUGCCGCGUGCAGGAUGAAGGCCUUCGGGUUGUAAACUGCUUUUGUACGGAACGAAAAGACUCUUUCUAAUAAAGAGGGUCCCUGACGGUACCGUAAGAAUAAGCACCGGCUAACUACGUG